ACUUCAGCCAGAGAGCGGGGUUAGGGCUUCAUUGCCUUGUGUCCUCUGCUCCGGGAGACUUCGGUGAUUCUGCCACUCCCUCCGUCGCUCUGUGACCUGCUGGCAUUGAAUGAUUUAUAGCUAAGACUCCAGGACACCCCUGAAGCCGAGAAAUGGUGAGUGUGGGGGGCAGGGCGUCCCGAGACUGGGGAGGGGACUCCUUGGAACCGGCUGGACAUGGCGGUGACGGGACCUAGUCUGCGAGUCGAGUCCUCUGCAGCUCAGCCCUCAGUCCCCUCCGGUGCAGGGACUCCGGGCGUCCUGUCCUGUCCCUGCACGGCGGCUUUGGCCCCAGCCUGUAGCCCUCUUUGCGCAGCUCUGCGCCCGCAGCCCUGCAUCUUCCCCAGGUUGUGAGGUGAUGAGGCGAAAGUCAUCGGAAAGACGCCGACUCGGUGUGCAGGGUUCCUGCGUGGAAGGAGCUGUGGUCCGUGGGGUCCCCCGUCCCUACCUUACCCUGUUCAGAAUUAGACUGAGGCACCAUUAAAACAUAGACAGCUUAUAUGAGUAAACAGUGAUUAAUUAAUGGGACAGCGCUCAGCAAUGGUUUGUGGUUUGGGGGCUACUAGAAGGUCUUGAAAGAAAGGCUUGUAUAAGGUGUGUGAGGAAGCAAA
rnacentral:lncRNA from 10 species